AACGCAUCUUGCGCUCCUUGGUAUUCCGAGGAGCAUGCCUGUUUGAGUGUCAUCAAAUUCUCAACUACAAUGAUUUCUUCAGUGUAGCUUGGAAUUGGGGGACUUUGGCUUCUAGAGAAGUCAGCUCCCCUGAAAUUGAUUAGCGGUACCUUUGUAGACCAUCUACAGGUGUGAUAAUUGUCUACACCUUAGUUGUCUGAAUGCUGCUUCCAACUUGAGUUUUGGAACUCGUGACAAUCUUGACCUCAAAUCAGGUAGGACUACCCGCUGAACUUAA
rnacentral:misc_RNA from 1 species